CCGCCAUGUCGUCAGUUGGAGUGCAGUAGGUAGGAAAAAGGACGACAUGGGAUGGGAGUGGUUAAGAAAAUCCAUGCAAGUGGGACUAGUGUGUAACUGGUAGUAUAGCUGAAGAAUCUAGUGGUAGAAUGAUCUUGUACGUGAAUAAUGUUUCUGACGCUGAGCGCUGAGGCUAUCCGCAACCGUUAACCCUAAAUUUUUCCCUCUAUAUCAUUUUUUCCUCUAUUUUCCUCCCUAUUUUUUCAUCUCCCGCAGCGGUUCCCCCUAAAUACUCCCCCUAUAUCUCACUACCACUAUAAAAUAUUAUUUUCUAUACCAAUUAUCAAUUUUUUAUCUACUAACAAUUACUCGUGGACCCACAGCACAGUGUUUAGGGUGAUGAACAGUGACACGCUAGAUCUGAAGGGAGAGAGAAGGGGACCGACACGUAGGGAGCCUGUAGAGGGCACCGCUGCGGCCGUAGGGUGCUCCCUACGCGCCGCAUACAAGGGGAGGGGGGAGAGGCAGCGGUAACCGCUGCGCACAGCCUGAGGGCGAGGCAUGUGAGUUCACCACGUGAGUAGCAGCAAAAGGAAACAACCCUUCUUCACCCGGCUAUCAUCUAACGUAUCGCCCCGGGAGAAUCAAUAACUCUAACGAGAUGACGAAAAGUCAAAAAUAAAGUCGUGUGAUGGCCAUGAAAGUCAGUCAAGCAAAUCAGCUGCUAACACGUGUCCCUUAUCUACAGGUGUAAGAGAGUAGAGUCUUGUCAAUCAACCUG
rnacentral:lncRNA from 1 species